CAGUCACGUGAUGCCGUGACUGUGUCACGUGGUAAUCCGUACCUGUCAAAAUGUGACAGAGACAGAGCGACAGAAAGGGAUGGAGAUAUCGCGUGCGUUCAAAUUUGUGUCGCCAUCAAAAACUUCCAUGGUCAUCUUUGGACAACUCUAUCAUUGAAGGUCAUCUCAAGACAUCGUAAUCAAUUAUUCUAAAACCUGAAAAGGCUGCCAAUGUCAACUGC